rnacentral:rRNA from 1 species
UACGUAGGUGGCAAGCGUUGUCCGGAUUUACUGGGCGUAAAGAGCGCGCAGGCGGUCGUUCAAGUCGAGUGUGAAAGCCCCCGGCUCAACUGGGGAGGGUCACUCGAUACUGAUCGACUCGAAGGCAGAAGAGGGAAGCGGAAUUCCCGGUGUAGUGGUGAAAUGCGUAGAUAUCGGGAGGAACACCAGUGGCGAAGGCGGCUUUCUGGUCUGCUCUUGAUGCUGAGGCGCGAAAGCGUGGGGAGCGAACAGG